UACAGAGGUCUCAAGCGUUGUUCGGAUUCAUUGGGCGUAAAGAGCUCGUAGGCGGCCUGUCGCGUCUGCUGUGAAAUCCCGGGGCUUAACCCCGGGCGUGCAGUGGAUACGGGCUGGCUGGAGGCAGGCAGGGGAGAACGGAAUUCCCGGUGUAGCGGUGAAAUGCGCAGAUAUCGGGAGGAACACCGGUGGCGAAGGCGGUUCUCUGGGCAUGUCCUGACGCUGAGGAGCGAAAGUGUGGGGAGCGAACAGG
rnacentral:rRNA from 1 species